rnacentral:rRNA from 1 species
GACGAACGCUGGCGGCGUGCUUAACACAUGCAAGUCGAACGGUGAAGCGCCUUCCUUUUUGGUGGGUGUGGAUGAGUGGCGAACGGGUGAGUAACACGUGAGUAACCUGCCCCCUUCUUCUGGAUAACCGCAUGAAAGUGUGGCUAAUACGGGAUAUUCUGGGUCUGUCGCAUGAUGGGUCUGGGAAAGAUAUUGUUUCGGUGGGGGAUGGGCUCGCGGCCUAUCAGCUUGUUGGUGGGGUGAUGGCCUACCAAGGCGGUGACGGGUAGCCGGCCUGAGAGGGUGGACGGUCACACUGGGACUGAGACACGGCCCAGACUCCUACGGGAGGCAGCAGUGGGGAAUAUUGCACAAUGGGCGCAGGCCUGAUGCAGCGACGCCGCGUGAGGGAUGGAGGCCUUCGGGUUGUGAACCUCUUUCGCCAGUGAAGCAGGCCUGCCUCGUUUGUGGGUGGGUUGACGGUAGCUGGAUAGGAAGCGCCGGCUAACUACGUG